rnacentral:tRNA from 1 species
GGGCCCGUAGUCGAGCCAGGAUCAAGACAUUGGCCUCCGGAGCCAAUGAGCCUGGGUUCAAAUCCCAGCGGGCCCGCCA